ensembl:lncRNA
CUUCAGUCAUGGUUCUGUCCCUCUUUGCCAAUUUUUUGUCAAAUGUCACCAGCUCUUUCAGGUCCUCUGCCUGCGUUGAACCAGCUCUUUCAGCUCCUCUGCCUGCGUUGAACCAGCUCUUUCAGGUCCUCUGCCUGCGUUGAACCAGCUCUUUCAGCUCCUCUGCCUGCGUUGAACCAGCUCUUUCAGCUCCUCUGCCUGCAUUGAACCAGCUCUUUCAGCUCCCUCUGCCUGCCUUGAACCAGCUCUUUCAGGUCCCCUGCCUGCGUUGAACCAGCUCUUUCAGGUCCCCUGCCUGCGUUGAACCAGCUCUUUCAGGUCCCCUGCCUGUGUUGAACCAGCUCUUUCAGGUCCUCUGCCUGCGUUGAACCAGCUCUUUCAGGUCCUCUGCCUGUGUUGAACCAGCUCUUUCAGGUCCUCUGCCUGCGUUGAACCAGCUCUUUCAGGUCCUCUGCCUGCGUUGAACCAGCUCUUUCAGCUCCUCUGCCUGCGUUGAACCAGCAGUCUGAGUACUGAAGUUUUCUCACAAACAAAGAAAGGAAUAUCCUGUGCAUCUGGCAGAAUGGAGGGGAGGUUCCUGCUUCCCUGGAUUGUCUACAGUUCUGACAAACAUGGCCUGUGUCCCAAACGGUACCUUAUUCCCUUUAUAGUCUGCUACUGUAGAGCAGGGCCCUAGUGCACUAUAU